UUGUGUAUUUAGUAUAGAGCAAUUGGAUAUUUACAAAAUGAUAAGGAGCCCUGUUAUAUAUGAGAGGAAAUAUGAACAUAGUACACAUAUAUUUAUUACAAAGAUAUGGAGAUGGGACAACUAGUUAAGGCCACGAUACAGGCUCAGACUACCCUGACAGACUUUCUCGGCUCUAGGUACAUGCCCUGGGAAUGCACCACUUUCUCCCCAUGAUCAUCAGUCCAUACUACUCCGAGGUCAAUUGUUGAUGGCCCUCAAGGGGUCAAGAUCAACCAUGGUUUCGAGUCUUUGGGAUGUCGUAACAAUAAAAAAUUGUACCCUCUGAUUUUACCUUAUACAAAUAGUCCUUGCGUUUCUUAGAGUAGAACGAUAAGAAACAACCUUAAUAACACGUUUUAUGAAUUUCCCCCGAUGAUGUCAUAUUGAUGGCUCAAGCGACCCUAAUAAUAGAGAUGUCCGGCCAUUUCAUCUUUUCAAAAUCAUUCAAAGCAUUACUAUUUUUAAUUCUUCAAAGCAGUAAUAUCACCGCUUGAUUAGCUCCUAAGGAUGCAUUAAAUGUGCUUGCUGAUAUGUCUUUCAAAGACAAUAAUGACAUUGUCGGUUACGUUGCCACUCUUCCUAUAAAUGGGAUCCUUCUAGAACAAACUUUUUAUUCAAGUGUUUUUCAAUCAGCCUUUCUCCUAUUUCUUCUCUCCAUCAUCAUUCGCUAUCAUUUCCCAAGUCUGAGG
rnacentral:lncRNA from 1 species